UUUAGAGAGUGAGGAAAAUUUUCAGUAUAUCUAUGUUGAUGUUCAUUUCUUUUUUGCGUAGAUACGUAUACUGAUGCCGCUUUUCAUGUAUAUCUUUAACUGUUCACAAGUUCUAGGUUUUCAUCUGGUGUAAAUUCAAAGCUAGGGAGCCUAGUAAAAGAUUAUACUGCACUCAUUAGAAUUUGGACUUUGGUUAUAUUGUAGUACUUGUUAGAAUCAAAGGUUAUGAACUGAUAAUUAUUUGGAUGCACUGUAACUUGAAAAGCUAAACUUUUAUCAUUAUUAAUUUAAACUUAGUUUUCCCAUGGGACAGAUCAUUACUGGUGACCAACACAAGAGAGUAAUUUUCUCAGUUGAUUUUCUUAUAGUAUCAUUAGAGACUUCCGAGAGCCCUCCCACAUCCAUAUAUUUUGUUUCUUCUUUGGAAUCUUUUCUUCUAUUUAUCUUGUUCUGUAGCAACUUGUAUGAAAGACCACAUUCACGUGAAUUUUGUCAUGCCUAACAUAGUAGCACACUAAGUAAUGACUUUCACCCAGUCGGUACAUAGCACAUUUUCCAUAUUGAGUUCUAAAUGAAAUACAUGGUUUCUUGGCAACAUUAGUUGGUUUAAAUGUAGAAUGACUAGAUUAUCGCGAGUCUCAUUUUCAGGAAUUUGUUCAUCAAUCUGAUGUAUUUUCCUUGUCACAUCAAAAGAAACGGUUUAAUCAUCUUUUACUUUAGCUUGAUUUCUUUCUGUGAUUUCUGCAUGUGCAAUAAUUUUGCUGCGCUGCUAAGGUUUGUUCCCUAGUUGUUCAUUUGCUUGUUGGAUACUCUCUAAAGCUGCCAAAUUAAAAGCCAAACUUUUUCGUGCCAAAUUUAAGUUUAAUAUUUAUGCGGGAUUUGCCAGUUUUCACAUUUGAAAAUCAGGCUGGUCUUGGCAUGCUUGAGAAAUAAUAAGAAUAACACUGUUAUUAUUUCUAUCCAAAUUUGACAUUUUAUUAUCUUACUGGAGUAAUCCAUGAUGCAACUUAAAAGAUUCAGUCCCGUAGUACACAAUUUGGUAUAUAAUUGUUAGAAGUAAUAUCCAGAAUUUCUUGAGAUGCUUAACCAGUUAUAUGCUGUGGCUAUUUGCAUUUUUCCAGUGAAGGUGCAAAAUUCAGGAGGUUAUUCUUCCUAAGCCAUGUUAAAUGUGAAACUGUAAUCUACCAAGAUAUCAUUAUUUCUACUCAGUAACUGGACUAAGCUUUUCUCAGUCUUUUACAAUGCUGAUAAGGAAAAGAUUGAAGACGAUGUUGACUCUGUUCAACUAGGGGAAUUGAUGCGUCAUUUCAGUGUAGUUAUUUUUGCAGGUUUUAUCUACUUAGAGUAUGAACAUAUGAUUUAAUUCACAUGCAUAGCUUUUGAUUUGGUGGAGCUUCUCUGAAAUUAAAACCUAAAGUUGCUAGCAGAAUUAAGCUCAUUUUCUUUUGAAUUUUUACCCUCACCGUCUUUUCAAGAGAGUAUUAACUAUCUUCUAGUGUUAUUUGGAUCUAGCAAGUCCAGUAGUUUUUAUCUCUAAUGAUUUUGACCAUCCAACGAGUAACUGAUGCAAUCACCAAUCUUGCUCAUGUAUAUAGAAGCACACAAGUCAUGACAGGUUAGUUUUUUUUUUUACUCUGAAAAUCUUGUUAAUUGCAGCUUUUACUGAAAGAAGACUUCGUUUUUUCUUUGCUUCAACUAUAUUUUAUGAAUAUAGAAUUGAGGGUGGUAUCCUCCCGUUAUUGAGUUGCUUGAGGUAUUUUAUGGUCUAGAUAACAACUAUUGGUGGCUUGUGAACUUUGUCUUUAAGAAUGAUUAGAACAAAAUUUGGUUAAUAGCUCACAAUAUUUUAUCUCAAAUAUGUGUAUGGUUAUUGGUUUACAUAUUUUACCUUGUCUGAAUUGAUCACAAAUGCCAUUCCCACACUUGUACUAAUGCUAAGGUCUGAUGGUACAUAUAUAUACUAGGAAGUGGUUAAACAUUAUAUAACAACUCGAGCUUUACUAGUGCUUAUAAUAUUAAUCAGAUAGUGGCUUGGUUAUGUUUCAGGUGGUAGUCAUAGAUAGACUAAAUAAAAUUGCGGAUGACAGGUUGGAAACAUUGGGAUCUGCUUCACACUUCACCAAAUAUCAAGAAGGAAGUUCUUCUUGCGGGAGCUUUACGACCUGUAGUUGGGUUACCUAGGGAACUGGAGCAUGCAAGAAAGCGAGGAGCUAAUAUAAAUUCAGAGCUACGUGGAUAUGAUGAAGACUUUUUGAACAAUUGUGAUGUUUGAAUUUUACAUUUGGUUUUGAGGAACUCAGUGCUAGUGCGCAUCUUGCAUUAAUGUUGUAUUAGUAUGUGUAGUACAAGACAUGUUUCUUUUUUCAAGUUUAUUGCAAAUUCAUACAUAUGAAUUAUUAUUUUUGAGUUACUUAUUUCCUAA